rnacentral:rRNA from 1 species
AGAGUUUGAUCCUGGCUCAGGAUGAACGCUGGCGGCGUGCCUAACACAUGCAAGUCGAGCGGAGAUGAAGAAGUUUACUUUGGAUUCUUAGCGGCGGACGGGUGAGUAACGCGUGGGCAACCUACCCUGUACAGGGGGAUAACAAUGGGAAACCAUUGCUAAUACCCCAUGACGCCUUUUGGGGGCAUCCCUAAAAGGUCAAAGAACUUCGGUACAGGAUGGGCCCGCGUCUGAUUAGCUAGUUGGUGAGGUAAUGGCUCACCAAGGCGACGAUCAGUAGCCGGCCUGAGAGGGUGAACGGCCACACUGGAACUGAGACACGGUCCAGACUCCUACGGGAGGCAGCAGUGGGGAAUAUUGCACAAUGGGGGAAACCCUGAUGCAGCAACGCCGCGUGAGCGAUGAAGGCCUUCGGGUCGUAAAGCUCUGUCCUAAGGGAAGAUAAUGACGGUACCUUAGGAGGAAGCCCCGGCUAACUAC